rnacentral:rRNA from 1 species
CGGCAUGCCUUACACAUGCAAGUCGAACGGUAACGCGGGGCAACCUGGCGACGAGUGGCGAACGGGUGAGUAAUGCAUCGGAACGUACCCAGUAGUGGGGGAUACGGACCCGGCGAAAGCCGGAUUAAUACCGCAUACGACCUAAGGGUGAAAGCGGGGGACCGUAAGGCCUUGCGCUAUUGGAGCGGCCGAUGUCAGAUUAGGUAGUUGGUGGGUAAAGGCCUACCAAGCCUUCGAUCUGUAGCUGGUCUGAGAGGACGACCAGCCACACUGGGACUGAGACACGGCCCAGACUCCUACGGGAGGCAGCAGUGGGGAAUUUUUGGACAAUGGGCGAAAGCCUGAUCCAGCCAUGCCGCGUGCGGGAAGAAGGCCUUCGGGUUGUAAACCGCUUUUGUCAGGGAAGAAACGCUCUGGGCUAAUACCCUGGGGUAAUGACGGUACCUGAAGAAUAAGCACCGGCUAACUACGUG